rnacentral:rRNA from 1 species
AGUUUGAUCCUGGCUCAGGACGAACGCUGGCGGCGUGCCUAACACAUGCAAGUCGAACGAGGUUAAUCCGGUAGCAAUACUGGUGACUACCUAGUGGCGAACGGGUGAGUAGCACGUGAGCAACCUGCCCCGAAGACCGGGACAACACCGGGAAACCGGUGCUAAUACCGGAUACCCCCACCUAAUCGCAUGAUCUGGUGAGGAAAUGGAUUCCGCUUCGGGAGGGGCUCGCGGCCUAUCAGCUAGUCGGUGAGGUAACGGCUCACCAAGGCUUCGACGGGUAGCUGGUCUGAGAGGACGAUCAGCCACACUGGGACUGAGACACGGCCCAGACUCCUACGGGAGGCAGCAGUGGGGAAUCUUGCACAAUGGGCGAAAGCCUGAUGCAGCAACGCCGCGUGAGGGACGAAGGCUUUCUGAGUUGUAAACCUCUUUCAGCAGGGACGAUUGUGACGGUACCUGCAGAAGAAGCCCCGGCCAACUACGUGCCAGCAGCCGCGGUAAUACGUAGGGGGCAAGCGUUGUCCGGAUUUAUUGGGCGUAAAGAGCUCGUAGGCGGCUUGGCAAGUCGGGUGUGAAACCUCCAGGCUCAACCUGGAGUCGCCAUUCGAUACUGCUAUGGCUUGAGUUUGG